AGUGGAUUCUCCGCACGACUCAGCUUGUAUAGCGGUGGCAUUUAUACAUAUAAAUAUACAUAUGUACAUAUGUUUUUUAAAAUGAAAAAAAAAACACUUUAGGGGUAUUCUCUUGCUCUUGCAAAACCCGGUACAUGGUGCAAGCAUUGCAGAUUUACAACGGCACAACAACAAACACACGCAGAAAAAUAUUUGCAAGGGCUGUGAAAUAUGUCAGACCAAAACCCAUGUAUAUUAGCGUGCAAUGUCACGCAAAAAUAUAAUUGCAACCCUGUUGUAGUUGCCAGUUUACAUAAAGACAUAUUACGUCGUUAAACUGUUGAGAAAGGUAAAUUUUAAUUAUAUUUUAUAAUUUCUAUUUAAAUUAUAAAGUUUUGUUACAGUUUUUUUUUUGUUAAAAAUGCAUGCAGAAGGUGUGCCAAUUCACAAUAGCCACGCACAAUAGUAAUUUACAAUAAAUUGACUGAAUCAGUCGCUCAUAUAUCACUAGAUUCUGCAAUGGGUGCUCUCGUGCCCUUGUAUAUUUCGGUGUAGUUUUUUUGCAAUCUGCAAUCUUGCAAGAGCAAGAGAAUACCCAUUUUAUUUCUUGACAUUGACGCUCUGAACACGUAAAAAGCAGCACGACAUGGCAGCACGACAGUGAACUGUAAAUGGCAUAACAAUGGCCGGCAUGUAAACCAUCAACACAGUUGUCCAUUUUGUAUGUACACAAUUUCGCUGUUGUCAUCCUUAAUUAAAUUUUAAUAUUUUCUUCAAAGUGAAAUAUUUUAUGCAAAAAAUAAGUAAAUAGGUAAUAUAUCGAAUUCCAAUCUAUAACUUUGUUUGUUGUUAGAUACUUUUUAAAGAGAUUUAAGCAAAAAAAAUCGAUUGUUUGAAGCAUCUAAAGCAGUCUCCCCCCUUAAUAAAGAUUUCGUAUCAGAAUUUAUUGAUCUUUUAAAAAAUGAAGUGGCAAUUUGGCAAACGAAAAGGGAUAAAUAUAAAAAUAAAAUUAAGAAAAAUAACAGUUGGAAUAACUUAUUAACGAACGCACUUGUGUGUCGUGUAUGGGCUCUAUUAGCGAGAGCGACGACUGAGAGUCUGCAGUAGUGUAGUUGUGCAGCUGUCUACAUAACUGUGUCCAUAAGAACGUGCGUAGUUUAAUAUUUGACAGAAGUCGCUUGUAGUCUGUCGCGCUCUAUGUGUUCAGUACAUGACACCCACAUCGUUUAUUAUUACCACGGGGCAUUUCGACAAGUAAAAUAUUAUUUGAAGGUACUCUGGAAUAGAAGCAAGGUAGAGGAGGAGUAAGGUCACUAUCAGCUGAUGUUAUGUAAACAAAGGCACAGCUGAGAGGUGCCACUGUAGAAACGCCAAGUGUAGUCCGGGGUUGAGUUUCUAUUUGAAUCCAAGAUGGCCGACUUUUAACCGGAAAAUGGUUGCAUUGUGUUAUUUUCUUAAAAUUUAUGGAAAAGUUGUCCUAAAAAUAUUGGUUAUAUGUAAAAGUUUAAUAUAUUUUCAAAAGAAAAUUGUUUUAUUUUAAUAUAUAUUCUUAAAGAUGAGAACAAUAUGAGCAAAUACAUGAAAAAUUAAGUUUUUUAUUUAUGCCUCUUUUUAACUGUGGUAAGUCAAUAAAUGUUCACCACUGAAAAAUGUUACGAACAAAUAAGCAACCAUGCGGAAUAGUGGGGUCUAGAUUAUGCUCAUUCACAACCAUAUUUACAUUUUUGCCAUCGUAACGAAGGUUUUUGCAAAGACAAUUUGUUUUAGUUUAUUUCAUGGUUAAAUCCUUUGCGAUGGUUUAUUUAGUUAUUUUAAUCUAUAAAAAGUGUUUACAAUUUUCAUGGGACGAUAAACAUCAGAUCGGCUGCGAUUUUAUUCCAAUAAAAGUACGAAAUAACCAAACAUGGCCACGUUAAUAUUGCUGCGUAAUGGGUCUGGUGCUCUUACAAUUUUAUGAUUUAAGAGAUACUCAAAUGUAGUUAUCAAAUUAGUUGGUCGUGAAUUCGAGACAAAAUUUUAAAUUCAAUGGCGUUCUCGUGUAAGAGAUCGCAUUGCUAGAAUCAGCAAAGGAGCUGGUGUAGAACGCUAGUCCCAAACCAAUGAGCUUUGUGCUUGAGGGUGGAAGCAACUUUUUGAAGAGUAAAUACUACGGUGAGCACAUUCGGAUGUUGCAUAACCUAUUGUAAAUUGCGCUUAGAAUCCCGGUACUGCUGGUCAGGUUUAUCAGGCUGUUGGGGAGGUUUUGAGCAAAAUUGAAUUUACAUACUUUCUAAUAGCUAAACACCCACCUUGCAGACCAAAGCGUUACCAGUUGAGCGAAUUAAUUGACUGGUUUCAUCGUGUUAUGCGUAAAGAUGAAAAAUGGUGGGGAUACCGUCAUUAAGACAUGUGUUGUGAUCCUACCUUCUUAUUGAAAGCCAAGUUCACGAAUAUAUUACCGAUGUCGUUCUCUCCAACAUACCGUGGUUGUAGAAUUUUGGUGUACAAUCCAUGGAAGAGCAAGUACCAUGAGAAUUAUGACCAUAUCGUGCUGCGCAAUAUCAUGAUGCCGAAUUGGGGAGUGGGGUGAACCAGCUCCACCAAAACCGAUAGAACAUCGGGAUGAACUACGCAAAUAAUAAACAACACUCAUCAAAUGAAAGUUGGCAGCGUUGGUGACUAAGCAGCGAUUUGAAAAAGAAACAUUUGCAUCUACGCGAAUUACAAUUCGUCUUUACAUCUAGUGAAUUAUGGUCGAUUAUGAAUGGUGUGGAAGUUGAUAUUUAAACUUAAAAAAACAAAUAAAUGUAAUUUGGCUAAUAUUGAUAUUUAAACUUUAAAAAACAAAUAAAUGUAAUUUGGCUAAUAAUGAGCCGCUAUUAAAAGUUAAGGAA